UUGACCUCAGCAGGAUUCGAACCCUGAACCUAAACGGCCGUAACCAUGUUUCGUUUCGUUUAUUCAAGAUAACCAAAUCUAGUUUUGAAUAACAUUCCCGUUUUCAGCUUCCCAAUAUUUCCAAUCUAGUACUUAUAUGUGCUUACAGCGAAAGAUGAUCACCUACAUGAGUCAUUGACUGUUAUUUCAACUGGAUCGUCCCUGGGACAUUGAAAGACAGCAGUUGACCUCAGCAGGAUUCGAACCCUGAACAUAAACGGCCGUAACCAUGCACCUCUCUAUUUUCCGAGUUCAUCCACGGCUAUUCGAACUGCAGUUGAUAUAAACUCUGCCAAAUCAGAUUGGAGCCUGGUGUAGCCAUCUGGUUUUACCAGUCCUCAGUCAAAUCGUCCAACCCAUGCUAGCAUAGAAAGCGGACGUUAAACGACGAUGAUGAUGAUGAUGAAGAAGACUUAAAUAUAAGCAGCCAGAAUUGUUAGCAUGCCAGAUGGUUGAUACAGAAGAAACAUUUCAACACACAUUCGUUUGGAAUUAUUUUUAUGUAUAGCUUAACCCCGAAAUAGAAAAUACCCAAUCAUGAAAAGCGAGAACGUCAUUGCACUGAAGCAACCACGAUUCUGGCCAAAGCUGGGCGUGGCAUGGUUCGCAAAAGCUGAAACAGAUUUCAACAUCAAGAAGAUCACUUCGGGCCUGACAAAACAUUCCUACGUAACAGUAAUCCUGAAUGAGGAUAUAACAACAAGGAUGCUAGACAUCCUAACUAGACCACCGGCUACAAAUAGACUCCGAGAAAGAUUCCGGCUUCUGAACCAAUGGACAAGAAUCUGGCAUUAGUGCCCGUUGAAAAUCAAAGAAUAUUGGACUAAAAUAAUUGCUUACAUCAGAUGCAACAUCAAUAUUUAUCAUCUCUUAAAGAUUGAUGGAAGAUGUACAGAUGAGACUCAACUUCACUUUAAUAAAUCUACAGAAGAAUUAUUCAGAAAUAUUUUCACUAGCAUCAUUUGUUUUUCUUUUGCUGUAUAGAAUGAAUGUGUAUAAGUUGAUUUUUGGCAUACUAAUUAAAGUUGGAAAAUUUCUCAAAUGUGUUAACAUCUUUAUGUAAUCAACAGCAAUAGAAUUUCUUAUGGGUAAAAUAUAAAAAUGAAAAGAAGAGACAUGGUAUAUUGUAGUGAGAGAAGAAAUAAUGUGGAGAAUGAAUUAUGUGAGAAUGAUUUGAGAAAAAUAAAUUUUAUUGAUGAGAUGAGGAAAGAGAGAGAAAACCUCAUACCAUUGUGAUACCUGUAAACAGUUAUUUUCUGAAAAAUGUAACCUCACUACUCACAAAUGCAUUCUUAUAGGAUUAUUAUAUCAUUAUGAUAUUUGUGGUACAUUGUCCUCUCAUGAAUCUAACUUAACUAAACACAAAUGCAUUCUUACAGGAGAGAAACGAUAUUGCUGAUAUCGGCUGUAAAUUAUUCUUUUGUGUAAUUACCUUAACUUACCACAAAUGUAUUCACAUUGGUGAAAAACCAUAUCACUAAUAUUUGUUGAUGGGUCAAACUUAACUAACUUUUCUGAUGGGUCAAAUUUAACUAAAUACAAAUGCAUUCAUACAGGAGAGAAACCAUAUCAAUGUAAUAUUUAUGGCAAAUCAUUUUCUUAAACAAGCAGGUUAGCUAGUCACAUAUACGUUCACACAGGAGAGAAACCAUAUCACUGUAAUAACUGAUAAAUCUUUUUUGGAGAGAAACCAUAUUUCUGUAACAGCUGUGAUAAAUCAUUCUCUCAUAGAAGUUGAUUAACUGAACUCUAACACGUUCAUACAGGGGAGAAACAAUAUUACUGUGAAAUCUGUGGUAAAUCCUCUCAAAACAGUACCUUAACAAACCAUAUACGAAUUCAUACAGGUAAAAGACUAUGUCAUUGUGAUAUUUGCAGUAAAUCAUUCUCUCAAAGAAGCAACUUAACUAGACAUGCAUUCAUAAAAAGAGUAACAAUAUCAACAAAAGUCAUUCUAUGAAAAAUAUCUUAUUUAACCAGAAUCAUGUUCAUUGUUUUUCAUAUAAGUAUAGCUAUAGCUACAUUAGUGAGAUAAUUUACUUCUGUGACAUUAUUUUUAAUAAAAUAUGCUUUCAGAAUAUUCAUAUAUAUAUAUUUCACUUAUUUAUUUUAUAUUUAUGUUGUGAACAAUGUCACAACUUGACAUUGUUGACAAGGGGCUUUGAGUUGGUAAGCUAGAAGUUCGUAUAAUGAGAAUGUCAAGUCUAACUCAAUAUUACAAGAGACCUCAUUAAAAAGUAAAUCACUUCUAUAUCCUCACUGGUGUCUCUGUUUUUGCCUUCUUCAACAUUACUGAUAUAUUACCUAUGAACCCACUGUUACUGAGUAAAUUGGACAUGUAAGCAAAAAGUUACAUAAAUUAGUCAAGAUAGUGUGUAUAAGUUGUGUAAUAAAUUCAAUAUUAAAACAUUUAAA